rnacentral:misc_RNA from 1 species
GAUGAAGAACGUAGUGAAAUGCGAUACUUGGUGUGAAUUGCAGAAUCCCGUGAACCAUCGAGUCUUUGAACGCAAGUUGCGCCCGAAGCCUCGGCUAAGGGCACGUCUGCCUGGGCGUCACGCAUCGCGUCUCCCCCAAACCGCCAAGGCGGAGGGGAAGGAAGAUGGCUUCCCGUGCCUCACCCGGCGCGGUUGGCCUAAAUUUGGAGCCCGCGGCACUUAGCUCUCGCGGCGAUAGGUGGUGAACAAGGCCUUGGCCGUGCAAACAACCCGCUGCGAAGCUCUAUGUCACGUGCGCUCGUCGGACCCUUUGAAGUUGCCUUCGGUGACUUAAAACCUUUGCGACCCCAGGUCAGGCGGGGCUACCCGCUGAAUUUAAGCAUAUCAAUAAGCGGAGGA